CGCAAUGCUUCUUUCUGGCGCUGAGGCCUUGGACUCAGUCAGGUCCUUCCUGUGUGAUCUUUUGUGCUGAGCUGGAGUUGUUCUUGUAAGAGGACUCUCACCUGGAGGCUCCGGCUGCCGGAGUUGUUCUCAUCCCGCUGGCACAGCAGAUGUGGUGCUUCAUCGGGGCUGCUGCCUGAGCUACGCACAUCUCCCAGAUUCAAAAACAGAAUUCUGGACACCAGACAAGUCACAGACAAGCACGUGCUCCUCAGUACAGACCAGCCGUUUAACAUGAAGGACGGGAUUUGUCCCACUAAACACGGAGGGGACGUCACGGACAGCUUCAGGACGCUCGCAGAGAUUUCACUCGUGUCUUUAACCAAAGCGCUUUUGCGGAUGUGUGCAGGAUAUUUAAUCUGAAUUAUUUUAGAGCAUUUAUUAUUUCCAGACAGUCUGCUCGCUAGUACGCGCACCAGCGCAGGCGCAGCUGAGUGCGCGUGCGCUGGAGAUUGCGAAAGUUUUGGGUAACGUAAUCCACUCACUUCCCUGGAAACUUUACCCCCCACUCUGUCCGACCUGUACGAAACAAUCAGCCUUCUUCCCACCAGGACCACCACACACUCUCCGUGUGGAGAAGCCUCCGCCGCUGACGCCUGGUGUGAGCCGCUGCGCUCGCCCGGAGAGUCGCGCAGCGCCCCGCCGGCCAGUCCUAGGCCGUACGCCGAGCUGGCAGGCCGCUUGGCCGGCGGAUUCCUCGUCCAGAUAUUCCCCCGGCACCGGAGAACAGCGGACAGGGCAGAGGCCGAG